AUACUGCCGCGCUCACUCGCCUCCUGCGCCAGGCGGAUGACAACAUCACGCACAAGUACUACCGGGAAUCUCUCAGAGAAAGUUAGCUUUUUUUUUUUUUCUUAAAAAUUUAUCAUAACAAAAUGUCAAUGUUUAGAUUUUUUUACAAUGGGACGAUCAACACAAUUUAACAUUUUUUUUGACUACGUGUCAUUGACAGUUGUUUUUAAAGCCACAUAUCUGCUCUUUUUUUUUAACAUUUUAAUGGGAAAUCAAACAUUUCUUCAUGUGAAAUGAGGUAACCAAAAUAUUAGAAACCGCUCCCAGGAUGAUGUAGUUGAACACUGCUGCAAACUAGAGCCGUAAUAAUAACAAGUUGUUACAUUGUAAAACAGUAAAACAGCAUUCUUACAUUUGAAUCUUUUUAUUUUAAUUGCAUACGAUUAAGAUUAAUACCCUGUUUUUCUGCGAACUCAUGCACACCCUUAUCAGAAUCAGAAUCAGAAUCAUCUUUAUUUGCCAAGUAUGUCCAAAACACACAAGGAAUUUGUCUCCGGUAGUUGGAGCCGCUCUAGUACAACAGACAGUCAAUUUACAGAACACUUUGGAGACAUAAAGACAUUGACAAAAAACAACAACAAACAACAAUUGUGCAAAAAGCUUAUUGUGCAGCUGUACCUAAUAAAGUGUCUCAGGGGUGUAAUUCCAAUUCUUGUCAACUACCUUUCUACCCCCAAUAACAUAAUAGCACUAAUCAAGCAGACAUAUAAUGUUAUUAUCAUUUCUGAAUGACAAAUAACCACUUAUUGCGUGUACUUUGAGCACUUCCAGAAUGUUGUGUGUGCGCGCCACCUAGUGGUGAGAAGGACUGCCUGCUCAUCAACCACACGAGGUCAUACCAGGUCAGUGUUACCCCCAAACUUUAUAGAGCCAAGGCAUAUAUUUUACAUGAGAAUAAUCUCACGGCACACCACAAAACAGACCCCCAAAAAAAGUGAAUAUAUACUGAAAUAUUGAUGACCCUGUUUCAAUUAAAAACUUGUUUCAAUCUACUUACUCUGUGGAAUCUGGGCCUGUACAGUUGAACACAAAGCUAUUAUUCUCUCGUAUGAAGGGCUAAUGAUACUUUCUGCCAUCUAGCGGAAGAGCAUUGAAUUAUUCUGCGUGUCACUGUACAUUGCUGGCAUAGAUAGAUGCACAAGUCAAAUUGGAUAAGUGUUCGGGAAUCACUGGACUAGAUUACGUGACGUUGCAAUAACGAUUGGAUUAUUAGAUUAACAAUACAUUACUUCGAUGUAAAUAAGGAUUCAUUUUCAAAGCAAAAAAAAAAAUGAAAUUGUAUAAUUUCCAAUCGUAAAUAUUUGUGUUUGUAUGUAUAACAAUCAAAUAAAAAAACAGAAAGUUCAAUCAAGCACGUUGACGCACAUGAUUUGCUUUUGCGGGCCACAUCAAAUGAUGUGGCGGCCAAGAUCUGUCCCCCGGGCCUUGAGUUUGACACGUGAUUUAAACUUUUAAUUCGGGCUGUCAUAAACAUAUUCUGACAAGGUGUCAAUCACUCAGUUUUUCGCUGUCCCCUGAUUGCUAUAUUCACAAAUAGGUUUAACCUUCAAGGCCUUUUAUCGACUCCUUACUUGGCUCUGAUAUGUGGUCUUCAUCGAAACGACUGGAGGACAUGAACUUGCUAAUCCACGCGGGAAGUUUCCGCAUUAGACUCGCUUUGCAUGCAGCAACAACAACGGCACAGAUGAACUCAGCGCCGCGAUAAUCGGAUGCAGCGUGGCGUCGGCACUCGCACGAGUCGUCCGCUCUUACUCACUUCCACAUCGAUAAUGAAAACACAGCACUAAGUAGUUCUCUGUCACAUAAUCGUUUCUUGGCGCUACCAUCUUUGCGGGCGAGCCCGCCACGACGAUGACAGGGGAUAACGCAGAAGCUUUUAGUGUCUGAAAGGUCAAAAUCAAAUCUUUUGAUCAUCUCGUUUUGUUUUUAUUACUUAAAUCUUUGAAAGCUCGAGCUCAUGACCAUGAAAUAAACAUCUAGAUCACAUGAUUAAAAUAAUCCUAUCGCGCACUCGCCGGCCAUUCCAUUAGGUCAGCGACUUCCGAGCACUUUCUCCUCUGCAAUAUCCGCUUUGGCUCAAUCAAGGUUGAGAAACACUGCAUUCGGUAAUCAUCCACUAUCAUCUAAUAGGAAAUGUUCUCAUAAUAAUAAUAAUAAUAAUAAUUUGUAUUGUUCUAAUUCUCUUCAAGAGGGAUACAAACAUGAUCAAAUCAGUUGGCCGUCGUAGUACCACGACUGACCUGUGAGAGGCAGCAUUGUGCCACAUGGCAUCAAGAUUGCUGGGAAAUACAAGUAGAAGAAGCUAGGCUAACUGUUAGUUUAUCUCAUAAUGGAACUGUGUUGACCACACGUAAAUGCUGAAAAAGGUUUAGCAUGUAUGAUUGUCGAGCCCAACAGUUUUCUGAUCAGCCUGAGAAAAAACAAAUCACUCGAAAGACACCCCACAUCACAGGUUAAUCCCUCGGGAUAAUCUUUCAGAGCCAUCCGAUGCUGAUUUUGUUGGUGACGAAGAGUUUACCAAGUUUCUCCACCCGUGACUUGGCAGCUAGGCUUGGCGAAGAUCUGCCAUUUUCAAGCCACGGCUGGACUGCGUCGUCUGAAAUUGCUGUCAUGCCAAAGCCAAAAAGCAACCGUGGAUGAUAGUGACCGGGAUCCAACCUUAAAAAAAAAAAAACGGAGGAUGCUGACAGAAAACUCUAAUUCCCUGAAAAAGUCAUCAUUGCCAUACAGCACCCAGAUACAAAUCCCCCAGAAUGUGCUGCAGCCAUCAAACUUCCAAUCACUCGCCUGCAAAAUGACCAAAAUUGAGUUACGCCACUUUAGCUGUCAGUGGCUCAACUGGGAUGUACGGCAUAUUUCUUGCAUCAGUGGACUUUGGGCUCUCCAUCUGACCGCUGACGCUUCACGCAGCAGCGACUCAUGAUCCCAGGGCGCGUUCUGUGAUGUGCUGGAUAUCUCCGCGAAGAAGACUUUUCACAGCGACGGCAGAAGAGAAUGGCAUGCCGGUGAAUACGUGGCCGCUACAAGGCUUGACUUUACCCCAACGGGUGAUGGGGACGAAAAUGACAGAAAGAAAAUAUGAUCUUUUUCAACUAUGUACGUCUAAAAAAAAAAGGCUGUCCUCAGUGUGUGUGUGUGUGUGUGUGUGUGUGUGCGCCUUUGAAUGCAUUUUGUCAUUUGUUGGAAGUAGCCAAGUAAUGUAAAAUGCAUUUUAUACGUCUCCAACUUAACAAUUGUGUUAAAGUUCCAUCUUGGCUGUUGUCAUCUUUUCCACCUAUAUCUACA